rnacentral:rRNA from 1 species
UACGGAGGGUGCGAGCGUUGUCCGGAAUCACUGGGCGUAAAGGGCGCGUAGGCGGCCUGAUAAGUAGGGGGUGAAAUCCUGCGGCUUAACCGCAGGGCUGCCUUCUAAACUGUCAGGCUCGAGCACAGUAGAGGCAGGUGGAAUUCCCGGUGUAGCGGUGAAAUGCGUAGAUAUCGGGAGGAAUACCGAUGGCGAAGGCAGGUCUCUGGGCUAUAACUGACGCUCAUGCACGAAAGCGUGGGGAGCAAACAGG